rnacentral:rRNA from 1 species
AUGCACGCUGGCGGCGUGCCUCAUACCUGCCAGUCGAGCGAACAGACGAGGAGCUUGCCCCUCUGACGUUAGCGGCGGACGGGUGAGUAACACGUGGAUAACCUACCUAUAAGAUUGGGAUAACUUCGGGAAACCGGAGCUAAUACCGGAUAAUAUAUUGAACCGCAUGGUUCAAUAGUGAAAGACGGUUUUGCUGUCACUUAUAGAUGGAUCCGCGCCGCAUUAGCUAGUUGGUAAGGUAACGGCUUACCAAGGCAACGAUGCGUAGCCGACCUGAGAGGGUGAUCGGCCACACUGGAACUGAGACACGGUCCAGACUCCUACGGGAGGCAGCAGUAGGGAAUCUUCCGCAAUGGGCGAAAGCUUGACGGAGCAACGCCCGUGAGUGAUGAAGGUCUUCGGAUCGUAAAACUCUGUUAUUAGGGAAGAACAAAUGUGUAAGUAACUAUGCACGUCUUGACGGUACCUAAUCAGAAAGCCACGGCUAACUACGUG